GUGCCUUCUCGGUCUCAUGGCUAAGAUUAAGUGUAGUAUCUGUUAUAAUCAGUGUAAGAACUGAUUUAUGACUAUUAGGUCAGAUUUAUGUUCACAUUUAUUCUGAAGCGAUUCGGUAUAGCCACACACCCCUU
rnacentral:snRNA from 1 species